GAUAGGUUGCACAAAGAAUUUUGAAUUCUUAGGGGUAGGUUCAAUUCCUAUAAUUCUAG
rnacentral:tRNA from 1 species